rnacentral:rRNA from 1 species
AGGACGAACGCUGGCGGCGUGCUUAACACAUGCAAGUCGAACGAUGACCUCCAGCUUGCUGGGGUGAUUAGUGGCGAACGGGUGAGUAACACGUGAGUAACCUGCCCUCCACUCUGGGAUAAGCACUGGAAACGGUGUCUAAUACCGGAUACGAGCUUCCGCCGCAUGGUGAGGAGCUGGAAAGAAUUUUGGUGGGGGAUGGACUCGCGGCCUAUCAGGUAGUUGGUGAGGUAAUGGCUCACCAAGCCGACGACGGGUAGCCGGCCUGAGAGGGUCGACCGGCCACGACGUGGGACUGAGACACGGCCAGACUCCGUACGGGAGCAGCAGUGGGAAUAUGACACAAGUGGGACGAAAGCCGUAGAUGCGAAGCCAACCGCCGCGU